AUUUUUUAUGUUGUAUGAGUGCUGACUUUUAAUAUUUUCCAAGAAGAAAAAAAUUUCCAAAAACAACGUGCCCCGAAGGUUUUAAAACUGGUGAUCUCAGUGGAGAACCAAUGUCUCUAUGUUCCUAUGAAGUCUAUGGAAUUGUUAAAAUCACACCCAUUACAUAACGGCCAUAUUAACGUGCCGACCUAUGCUAUUCCAUAUUAAUUGAACAGUUGGUAGGCGUUCCGUACGGAUUGGGCAUUG